rnacentral:rRNA from 1 species
UGAAUGCUGGCGGCAUGCCUAACACAUGCAAGUCGAACGGUAACAGAUAAGAUGAUCUCUUCGGAGUGAAUCUUUCCUCACGAGUGGCGGACGGGUGAGUAAUGCUUGGGAAUCUGCCCAACAGUGGGGGAAAACUCGAGGAAACUCGAGCUAAUACCGCAUAAGCUCUACGGAGGAAAGAGGGCCUCUACUUGUAAGCUCUCGCUGAUGGAUGAGCCCAAGUCAGAUUAGCUUGUUGGUAGGGUAAUGGCUUACCAAGGCAACGAUCUGUAGCUGGUCUGAGAGGAUGAUCAGCCACACUGGGACUGAGACACGGCCCAGACUCCUACGGAAGGCAGCAGUGGGGAAUAUUGCACAAUGGGCGCAAGCCUGAUGCAGCAAUGCCGCGUGUGUGAAGAAAGGCCUUAGGGUUUGUAAAGCACUUUUCAAUAGAGAUGAAAAAGCUUUGAGAAAUAAUACUUUUCAAGUAUUUGACGUAACCCUAUAGAAAGAAAGCACCCGGCUAAUUUCCGUGCCCAGCCCGCCCGCGGUAAUACA